GUGCUGGAAAGUGAACAAUUCUUGGAGCAUGGUUAGAAAGGUCACAGUGUUGAAGACACAGCUGGUGCAGUGAGAGGGUUUUUUUCUUAUCUUCUUCCAAUGUGUGAUGGAGUCUGGUUUUUUCACCAUUCUUCUUGUUUCUACCUUUGAGGUAUAUUCGGCCCACUCUGGCAUCACAGACUGGGAAGAUGUUAUGGUGGCCAGAGAGGGCAUGCCUACCACUUUGGUCUGCACUGAUACAACAAUGAGGGGUGCCGUUGCCAUUAACUGGAUGGUGAAGUCACUGGAUGAAUGGAAACUGGUUCUCUCAGCCAGCGAAAGUAAAAAGUUCUCUGGUGGUGCCUCAAAGGCCUCCAUGCGAUUGACUGACCCUAACUUUCAAGACACCGGGGUUUUCUCCUUGUUCCUUGUUCCCAGAAUGGAGGACAGCGGUCUCUACUCAUGCUUGAUAAAGCAACAAGAGAGGAAAUUGAAGGAGAAGAUUAUCCUCUUAGCCAUUCUUACAGUCACCAUUGUCCCCGCUGCACCCAUCCCUCAGCUGAGCACCGUGCGGCUGGCUGCCAGUGUUAAUCCUGGCUAUGCCGCCACCAAGAUAACCUGGGCAGCACCUGGCGGCAUUUACAUGAAGAGCAAGAAAACAAACACAGACACGGUGGCCAAAGUGCCACUGGUCCAGAACAAGGACGGCGGGGCCUAUGUCUGUAUGGUGCACCCGUGGGGUAACAGCAGCAACACUGUUUUUGCCUUCCAUGUGGACGUGACUGUUGAUGCUAACAGUGUGGCCUCAUUCACCAAUAUAACAUAUGAGAAGGAUAUCUCCACCGCCACUCAGGCUCAGACACCGUUUCCCCUGACCUGUCCCGGUGACCAAGGGGACUACGUCCGGCUGCACUGGCUACCUCCAGACAGCAGGAGGCACAGUGACAUAAAACUGCUGUACCAAAAUGACAGCUGGGGGGGUUCCACCUUUGUCACCAAUCACAGCAAGAGACUCCAGCUCGCAGGCCCACCUUACAAUGCAGAGGCCGGAAGCUUCUCCUUUCUACUCACCCCUGAGUUAAAAGAUGGCGGCCUCUACAUCUGUGAAGUGUUCCUCAAUGACAUCGCCUUCAGCCGCAGGACCACGCUAAGCGUGCUGACAGCCACAGUUAAAACCCGCCAUUCCUCCUCAAAGCUGGAAUUGUGGUGCCUGUACUCGGAGCGGUCCCAGGUCCAUAGUGCCCGUUGGAAAUACCAGAAUGAGAGUCGUCAUCUGCACUCAUUGAGCAUAAAUCCUGGCAGGAUCGCCACCAUUUUGCCCUUACCCAUCACCUCAGACACAGCCGGGAACUACACCUGCACUCUACAGCUGAAUAAUGGGCGGACUGUCUAUGCAACGCAAGCUGUCACACUGCCCCGUGAACGUGGGAGGGAUGGUAUGGUAUAACAAAGACUGGUCUGUUUUCAGAUUUUCUUCAUCAACACUAUAUUAUUUUACUAGGACAGGAGUCCUGGCAGACUUCCUGUCAACUCAGUGGAGAUAAUGAACCAUGAAUGUGAAAGAUUCUCGGAUGUGUGCUCCGUGAAGCGUUCUGCGGCGCAUUCAAGCCAACUUCAGGUCAAUCCAUCUGCCAGAGAGCCCACAGUUUAUGGAGGAAAAAGCUCCUGACGGAUGCCAUAUGUUACGCUUUCUUAAUGUGGUUAAAAAGGUCACAGGUCAAAACUUCUGUGACAUUGUGAUUUGCAGAUAAUAUCCAGCAGGAAUAACUCUGUUAUUUUGCGUACCCAUUUGUCAUAAAAAUCCACCAUCGUUUUAAUACUCGAUAGAACAUACAACUUAAAGGCUAUCGUUUUUUUCUCAUCAGACUCACCAGUUUAUAUGCGACCAAAAGAAGACAGGACCGUAGGACAUCUCUCCCCACAAAAACUAAAUUAUUCAGACUUAUUGUAUUGGUGGCUGUGGGGGAGCACAGGAGGAUGUGACAGUUGAAUGGAUCCCUUAGCAGAGAUGAAUUCACUCCCCGUUACCCUAAUACAUCACUUUGAGUUGAGGGGCCCAGAGCUCAUCAUGAUGCACGCUGAUGGUACGGCUAAAAGACUAAUGGCAAUGGAGGAAAGAGAGAGAAGAGAAAGCAUGAUUUAACCUGAUUGGAAAGGCAGGAUCAGAAAAACAUACAGUAUAUAAUGUGGAAUUUGUCGGGUGUAACGAGGAGUUCAAAUCUGAGUAAUGUUGGAUGACCUACAUAUACACAGUUGAAAUGUGCAAUAGUGCCAGAUAGCUGUAGUUCUUAGUUAAUAAUAAAUAGUGUGACAAUAAGCAGUGACAGUUGAAAGUUUAUAAAUAAUUGUUAUGGUUAGCAAGAAGGCAUCCAGAAAGUUUUGCACAUUACGGUUCAUUGGAAAUAAGUUAAAUAAUCAAUACUGAGGAAAUAAAUAAUUUGGGGAUAUCUUAUGUGCCGUAAGCCACAUCUAAAAGUAUAGUGCCGGUUGUAGGAAAUCAAAAUGUGGCAUAAUAAAAUGUGUUUCACCGGUGUCACAGUUCAGAAAAUGCAAAAUUGAAGCAAUCAUUUUGCUCUGAAGCACAUGAAAUACUUAAAAUGUCAGAGAUGUUCUGCAAUCAUUUGCUAUCCUGAGUUGGCCCAUCAUUUGCAAAGCAUUCAAGCAGUUAUUUGGUCUGCCUUCUAUCAGCCACACUCCUCUACAAUCACACUGAUAUAAUUCGUCCCCCUACUUCAUUUGAGAUGAAAUGGACGAGAAAGUGCCAAUAGAGGAAAGGAAAAGGUGAGAUAGAGGAAGUUGGAAAAAAAACGGUGUGGAAACGGACAGGAAGCGAGAAAGGAGAGACGUGCUAGUGAGAAACUGGGCGCGUUAAUGCCUCACUUCACUGCCUUCUAUUACCAUAAUUCAUAUGUUAAAGCUGGCAUGGAGAACAGAGCAGUCGAGGGUGUCAGUGUGACCACCCCCUCCCUGCUCCCUUCUCUCUCUGCUUUAUUACUCCUGGUGCCCCUGGUUGCUGCAGCUGUCUCUGUGUUGCUAUGGAGACAGAAAC